AAUAAGUGUAGUUUUAGCACUGUUCAUAUUCAACGUUUGACCGUUCGUCUUAUUUGAAAAAAGAUUAUGAUUAGUAUUUUUAUUGUUAUUAGAUGAUAAAACAUGAAUAAUACUUUAUGUGUGACUAAUUUUUUAAAUAUUUUUUAUAAAUUUUUCAAAUAAGACGGAGCACGUAUAUCUAUGGCUGCACUUAUU
rnacentral:pre_miRNA from 1 species